rnacentral:rRNA from 1 species
AUGCCCCCAAGCUCCGCCCCGCCCUCCCCUCCGUCCAGAUCCAUGCGUCAAGGUCAGCACCCUUACCCGCGGCUAGGGAUUCGGGCGCCCCCGUGUUCUUGCCGCCGAGUGCCCAGGUCGGACCGCUGGCCAACGAGCAGCACCCCGCACAUGCACGUGCCCAGGCCGACGAACAGUACGGGGAUUGGCCACGGACGGAGACGAGUGCAGGCGCAGGAGCAGGAGAAUCUGUGGCGGCGACGGAUCUGGUGA